rnacentral:rRNA from 1 species
UACGUAGGGUGCGAGCGUUGUCCGGAAUUAUUGGGCGUAAAGAGCUCGUAGGCGGUUUGUCGCGUCGACUGUGAAAACCCGAGGCUUAACCUCGGGCCUGCAGUCGAUACGGGCAGACUAGAGUUCGGUAGGGGGAGACUGGAAUUCCUGGUGUAGCGGUGAAAUGCGCAGAUAUCAGGAGGAACACCGGUGGCGAAGGCGGGUCUCUGGGCCGAUACUGACGCUGAGGCACGAAAGCUAGGGGGAGCAAACAGG